GCUUGGGAAUAUGCCUUUAGGUGGGGGACAACAGUUGGAAACGACUGCUAAUACCGCAUAAUGUCUACGGACCAAAGUGGGGGACCUUCGGGCCUCACGCCUAUAGAUUAGCCCAAGUGGGAUUAGCUAGUUGGUGAGGUAAAGGCUCACCAAGGCGACGAUCCCUAGCUGGUUUGAGAGGAUGAUCAGUCACACUGGAACUGAGACACGGUCCAGACUCCUACGGGAGGCAGCAGUAGGGAAUAUUGCGCAAUGGGGGAAACCCUGACGCAGCAAUGCCACGUGAGUGAGGAAUGCCUU
rnacentral:rRNA from 1 species